UGGUUGUUGUUGCGAUAUUUCACUAUCCAGCCCCAUAGUUCCUAUUGUGGUUGUGCAUCCUCGUUUUCUUGAAUAAACGGGCUCUUAGUCUUGAUAAUACGUCAAUUUUACUUCUUGGGGCAGUUUUCAACUUUGUGGCCUUCUUCACCGCAAUACAAGUAUAGAUCUUCCUCCAUACGCCGCUUUUUUUCUUCUAGAGGAAGGGAUUUGACAUGUACCGCAUCAAUUUGCAUGUCUUCUACCUCUGAAUGUGAAUUCACGCUGCUUGUUGAUAUAGUUGAGGCGUGGCGAA
rnacentral:lncRNA from 1 species